rnacentral:rRNA from 1 species
UACGAAGGACCCGAGCGUUAUCCGGAUUUAUUGGGUUUAAAGGGUGCGUAGGCGGAUUUACAAGUCAGUGGUGAAAUCUCCCAGCUUAACUGGGAAACUGCCAUUGAAACUGUUUAUCUUGAGUACAUUUGAGGCGGGCGGAAUGUGUCAUGUAGAGGUGAAAUUCUUAGAUAUGACACAGAACACCAAUUGCGAAGGCAGCUCGCUAAACUGUAACUGACGCUGAGGCACGAAAGCGUGAGGAUCAAACAGG